UACUGUUGUUAUGAAAUCAUUUAGUUGAAGGUUUCUUUUGCCUCCAUUAAAUGUUUUAUGGUAAACUAAGUUCUAGCUGAGUAUACAUUUGAAAGUGCAUCCCAGAUGCAGAGUGGAUCUGAAUAUUCCCUUUAAGAUAAUGGAUUCUAGCAUCAGCACCAGUGACACCAUUUUAGAGCCACAUUCAGAUUUGGAAUUUGAAUCACAUGAAGCUGCUUAUACAUAUUACAAAGAGUAUGCCAAGUCUGUGGGCUUUGGCACUGCUAAAUUGAGCAGUCGUCGGUCCAGGGUGUCCAAGGAAUUUAUUGAUGCUAAAUUUACAUGCAUAAGAUAUGGAAAUAAGCAACAGUCGGAUGAUGCUAUUAAUCCUCGGCCUUCUCCAAAAAUUGGAUGUAAAGCAAGCAUGCAUGUGAAGAGAAGGCAGGAUGGCAAGUGGUAUGUUUAUAGUUUCAUAAAGGACCAUAAUCACGAACUUUUGCCAGCCCAAGCACAUUUUUUUCGAAGCCACAGGAAUGUUGAUCCACUUAAGAAUGAUGUUGGAAGGAGGCGGAAGAAUCUUGCUGCAGUUUCUAAACUAUUUGGUGCCUACCAAAAUAUUGAAUUUUUGGAAGGUUAUAUGAGAAAUCAGCAUGAUAAGGGGCGAAGUUUGGUUUUAGAAGAGGGAGAUGCUCAAGUACUUCUUGAACUUUUUAUGAAUAUGCAGGAAGAAAACCCAAAAUUUUUCUAUGCUGUUGAUUUGAAUGAAGAGCAUCGGCUGAGAAACGUAUUUUGGGUUGAUGCCAAAGGCAUGGAAGAUUUCAGUAACUUUGGUGAUGUUGUGUCUUUUGACACUACAUAUUUCACAAACAAAUAUAAAAUACCUUUGGUACUCUUUAUUGGAGUCAACCAUCAUAUUCAACCCACAUUGCUUGGUUGUGCAUUAAUUGCAGAUGAAACAGUUUAUACUUUUCUUUGGCUGAUGCAAACAUGGUUUAUAGCAAUGGGGGAACGAGCUCCACGAGUGAUGCUCACGGAUCAAAACAAUGCCAUAAAAGCAGCUGUGGCAGCUGUGUUUCCUAAUACACGUCAUUGUUUCUGUUUAUGGCAUGUGUUGGAAAAACUUCCCAGGCAUCUUGAAUAUCUAAGCCUGUGGCAUGAAAGUCUAAUGCUAAAAUUUGAUAAAUGUAUUUAUAGGUCUUGGAAUGAGGAGCAAUUUGAAAAAAGGUGGUGGAAGAUGGUUGACAAAUUCCAUCUUAGAGAGAUGCAGUGGGUUCAGUCUUUGUAUGAAGAUCGCAAACAGUGGGUACCUACCUUUAUGAGAGAUAUAUCUUUUGCUGGAUUGUCUACUGCUUUACGCUCAGACAGUUUGAGUUCUUCAUUCGACAAAUACGUGCACGGGGAAACAUCAUUGAGGGCCUUUAUAGAACAGUAUAGAGUAAUUCUUGAGGACAGGUAUGAAGAGGAAGCCAAGGCUGAUUUUAAUGCAUGGCAUGAGACUCCUGAGUUGAAGUCUCCAUCACCUUUUGAAAAACAAUUGUCAAUUGUAUACACACAUGAAAUUUUCAAGAAAUUCCAAGCUGAGGUUUUGGGAGCUGCUGCUUGUCAUCUUAAGAAAGAAAAUGAAGAUCAGGCGUCCAUGACAUAUAGUGUUAAGGACUUUGAAGAUAAUCAAAAUUAUAUGGUGGAAUGGAAUGAAUCAAAAUCAGAUAUAUAUUGCUCAUGCCACUCUUUUGAAUAUAAAGGCUACCUUUGCAGACAUGCUAUUGUUGUGCUCCAGAUGUCUGGUAUUUUCAGCAUCCCAUCUAAGUAUAUUUUGCAGCGGUGGACUAAUGCUGCCUUGAGCAGGCGUCCAAUCAGUCAGAAAUUGGAUGAGGUCCAAUCUAAGGUCCGUCGGUACAGUGAUUUGUGUAGACGUGCCAUAAUAUUAAGUGAAGAAGGUUCACUUUCUCAAGAAAGCUAUAAUCUUGCACUAGCUGCUAUAAAAGGAGCUAGGAAGCAAUGUGCAAGUGUCAAUAAUUCGGUUGAGAAUGAUGCCAGACCUAACACCUCAGUGAUUUAUGCUGUUUCUGGUGUCGAAGGACAAAAUCAAUGUGUUAAUGCUCCCGAAGAAAAAGAUCCAGACCCUAGAAUGGCAAAUACAAUCAAGACUUCCCGAAGUGUUGAGGCUGUGUUGGAGAGGCAAAUUAAUGAGAAUAAUCCAACUAGAAACGGAAAGCAGGUAUCUCUUGUGGGAGCUGCGAAUGUUGGGUCACAAGAUGGUUUUCAUCAAAUGGAGCUGUCAGACAUGAGGCCAACACCAAUGCAUAAUGUGAUGCCAACACAGCUACAUAAUAUGGUGCCAACUAUGUUAACAAAUGUUGCAUCAACACAUUUUCAUAACGUGGCUGCUACACAUUUGCAUGACAAUCGACUCCAGCGAUAACUUAUAUUUUUUCUUCAUUUUGUAAAGAUCAUGUAAGGAAAAGCUACUUUAGGGUUGCAGGAAGAGCAAUAUUAUCAUUUUGCAAUUGCCUUGACUUCACUACGAGUGUGCAGGUGACCCUCAAACAUUGAGCAACCAAACCGUUGUUUUGGGUGUGGUUUCACCUGGGCUUUUUAGGGAAAAGAAAAAGUUUGUAACGUAGUUUACUAUUUCUAGUGCAUCACUAUGAGAGUAUUAAAUAUUCCAAAUAUACAUUGUUGAAUAAAACGAAGUAAGGUUUUUCUCA